GUGAGCAUAUUCUUCCCCGAAACACAAGUCAAUAGAUCAUAUUUAUUGUGGAGCUUUGUAGGGAAGGAAAUGCAUACAGUAUGAUGGAAAAACUGAUAUUUGGUAACUUCUUUUCUUCUCCUUGUGGCAAUUUUAUUCGUAUGUUUAUUUGAUACCUGUGAAAUUAACUCUCCAUAUUCUCCCAUGUGGUAUUGUCCAGAGUCUCCUGUGACUCAUAUUUUCUUCUCUGGUCUCCUUGUGUAUUGUAUAAAUAAUUUUUCUCCUCUUUAAAGGCUCUCCAUAGCCAUCUCAAUCCUAUCUAUCAACUAUCUGACACUGUUGUCAAUUUAUGUGUCUGGUUGGCUUGCUGUAAUUAAAUAAUCACUUUCUUCUUAUUCAUUUUUAAGGAGCUACCUAUAAAUAUUGGCACUUUUUUUCAAUAGUAAAAAUCAAAAUAUUUUUUAAGAGUGCUAUUUGCUAUUGCAUCCAUGAAAAACUAUAUCAGCCAAGGACCAUAUUGUACUGGGAUCAUUUAUGUGUCAUAAUGGUCUUAUCUUUUCCUUGUAUCUCCCCUCCCGAUGAGCUAGAAUGUAGUUAUCUAGCCAUGUGUGUCAAACAACAGUGUGAUUAUUACUGAACAGGGGCAUUAUUUUUGUUCUGCGUUCAUACAGCCUGUGAAACAAUAGAGAUAUCACUGAGCUGUUACUUCUUUUUUUUUCCAUAUGUGCAUGAAAAACACAGCGUUCUGUGGUAAUUUUGAUGGCAAACAGCAUACAAAGAAAAGCUUACUUUCAGAACAACACGCCCCCCAAAACAAACAAUUUAUAAAACUAAACAACUACUCUGCCACUUGCAAGACUCUGCAGAGUCCAAAGCAUCUGUCUACAUCUGCCUUGGGCACUGAAAAAAAGGCCCAGGGUAGUGAUGAUGGCACCAAGCCUUCCAGAAUUCAAGAAGCAUUUGGACAACAUCUUCAGACAUAGGGUUUGAAUUUUGAGUUGUCCUGUGUGGAGCCAGGAGUUGGACUUGAUGAUCCUUGUGGAUCCCUUCCAACUCAGGAUAUUCUACCAUUCUAUGAUUCUAUGUUGUUUUGAAUUUUGCCUGGUGCAGAUUAUACAUUCUUCAGCACACUAAGGCAAACAGUUUGGGAAAUUCUGUUUAAAGCAGCUUAAUUGGCCUAAUUCUCCAGAACUUGGAUUGCAAAGGGGUGUUCUCAGCCCACAGUCAUCUGGAAGCUAUAGCUUAUCUCAAAGAUAAAACUAGGUUGGUUCUUACUGUGUUUGAUAUAUGUGUAAAACUACAUACAUAUACACAGAUGUACAUGUAUGCAGACAAUACAUCUGUGGCAGCAUGCUCCUUCAUUUCUGUUCUCUGAAGUACUGAAUCAGAAUGUGAAAAAUAAAUUUGCUUUUGGGUUAUUAUCAUCUCUAACUAAUCUAAAUCAGUUUCAGAUUAACCCAUUUUCUCCCCAAGGUAAAAUUAGACACCAAAUUUCAGCAUGAGAAUCAAUAGUCCACUACUGACUUGCCUUUAAAUUGCAAUAUUCUAGGUAUCAUUACUUUAAAUUUUCUUUAUCACAUUCAUAAAUUUGCAUUUUCAUAAAGUUCCAUAAAAUAUGAUAAUAACAGUAAUAAUAGUGAACAGAUUGAGGGACACAUACAGAUACAAAAAAUCGUGGAAGUGAAGCAGUGUCAAGGAAAAUAAUUUGCUGCAACGGUAGGAAAUUGUCAACUUUCACACAGGAAGUCAUUAAAUUUUUUCUCUUUUGAAUUAUAAUUUUGGCACUUUCAUAUAGCAGCAAGGUAAUAGAUUUUCAUUAUCCAGAGUGCAAAAACAUUGGCUGUGGAAAAAGCAACAGAGCUCAGAUUAAUAGGAGAUGACAAGCUGACCAAAGAGGAAGUGGCAGCAUGGCUGGCACCAUGGCUCAGUGGUUGUGACAGGCAAUUAGUGAACAGAGCAGAACAGAUGUAACAGAAGGCAGCAACAAUUUACUGAAGCAUUAGCUUGCUCACUCUGUAGUACAGAGCACUGAUAGUUUGCUGAUACGAAUAAAUACUAAUAUGAUCUCGGGAGGUGAAAAGAGGUAGUGUGCACAGUCAUCUUACAAAUUAAAAAAAAAAAAUCAACAAAUAAAGCAAUAACAAGAAAAACAUUACAAACAAACAAAUAAACCAAGCAACCACCAUGACUAGCAACAAAAGUAACUACUCAAAACCAAACCAAACCAAAAACUAGAAACAAGAUCAAGUAGAUGCAAGAGAAAAAAGACCAGCCUUAUGUCCUUUUCAAGACUUGAUUGAGAAUCUUGCUUCAGUACUAGAUUGCAGCAUGCCUGAAAAGAGAUCAUACAGCAGAGAACUUGCAACAGUGUGUUCAUUUUUCACAGUACUUAAAGAGAAAGCACAGUGUUUGUUUUUGUUGUAUUUCUCCCCCUUGUAUUAGGAGAGGCUUACAUUAACAAAGCUCCUUGAUGUUGCUGCUGGUUGGUGGAGAAUAGGAGAAUGGGAGAUCUUUGUGAUUACAAUGUUGCCUUGCUGAAUUUAAAACCCAAACAAACAUAACACCUUCCUUGUUAUUUCUAUUUAAAACCACAUGUAUCUAGUAUUAUGCAAAAUUAUAUUAAUUUACUUCAGAGAACUUCUAGGCCUCAGUUGUCUUAUGUCUCAAAGGACUAAGUGAGCCAUAUGUUCAGGAAAGUUGGGAUUGAAUAAGUUAUACUUGUUAUACUAUACAAGUGUUGUUAUGAUAUUCCUAAACAUAGUGAUGAAGCUAUUAUAUUGCUGUUAACUGUAGAGAAUACAUCAUCAUUCCAUAAAUUGGCAUAAAAUUUAUAUAAUGGGAGCAUAUGUUAGUUAGAAUUGGAAAAGAAAAUGGCCAGUCCUGUGUGUAUAGUCCAUAGAAUCACUAUUAACAUCUUUUACUGACAGUUAACAGUAAUUUGCUCUAUUCCCAUGAAGAUCUGGCACUUACUUGUAAAGUAAUACAAAUUAAAACCAAUCGAACCUUGAAUAAGUUUCACCUUUUUUUGCUAAGGACUGGACUUAAGGAUCAAUUCCAUACCACCAGGUGAAUCUUAAUAAUAAUUUUAAUGGUUCCAGAUAAAAAAUAGUUCUAUUUUACUGUAGUUGUUCAUCCCUCACCAAGACAGCACCUUUUGUAAUAAUGAAUACAUGAUUUGGUACCAUCCACAGAUCAUGACAAAUUUGGAAUUCAAAAAGUCAUGGAAAGUAAAGGCGCUGCAUGAGUCAAGAGGAUAUCCUCAGUUUCUGGCUCCAGUUGACUACAGGAAUGAUUUCUGAUAACGACUCACUGGUUCUGGAUGAGUUUUUCCAUGAGGGAGAUCAUAUCCCAUCUCAUCCCAUCCUACCCUACCCUACCCUACCCUACCCUACCCUACCCUAUCCCAUCCCAUCCCAUCCCAUCCCAUCCCAUCCCAUCCCAUCCUAUCCUAUCCUAUCCUAUCCUAUCCUAUCCUAUCCUAUCCUAUCCUAUCCUAUCCUAUCCUAUCCUAUCCUAUCCUAUCCUAUCCUAUCCUAUCCUAUCCUAUCCUAUCCUAUCCUUUCCCAUCCCAUCCCAUCCCAUCCCAUCCCAUCCCAUCCCAUCCCAUCCCAUCCCAUCCUAUCCUAUCCUAUCCUAUCCUAUCCUAUCCUAUCCUAUCCUAUCCUAUCCUAUCCUAUCCUAUCCUAUCCUAUCCUAUCCUAUCCUAUCCUAUCCUUUCCCAUCCCAUCCCAUCCCAUCCCAUCCCAUCCCAUCCCAUCCCAUCCUAUCCUAUCCCAUCCUAUCCUAUCCUAUCCUAUCCUAUCCUAUCCUAUCCUAUCCUAUCCUAUCCUAUCCUAUCCUAUCCUAUCCUAUCCUAUCCUAUCCUAAAUCUUAACUCUCUCUCAUCUCCAAAGACUGGUGCUUGGAUGCAACUAAAGGAAAAAAUGAUUGCCAUAUAUGUUUUCCCUGAGGAAAAAAAUGAUGUGUCAGAAUCAUAAAAUGUGAAUACUUGAGAAAUAUGGUUUUAUUGUGAUUUUAUUAAGGAAGUCAAAGAUUGAUGUAAACUAACACAAAAUUCUUUCAAUCAAAUUCUAACAUGAUGAAACUCUGAAGUUUUUCUUUAAAAUUGGAAGAAUCAUAUUAAUUUGACUGAAGCACUCUUGUUUGUUUUUAGUAUGUGUAUAUUUAAGAGAAAAAAAAAGAUUCAAUCUGAGAGAAUGAAGUUUUCUCUACUUAUGUAAAUGAAUUGCUAAUUCAGUUCACUUAAAAGUGCAGUUACAAGCUGAGGGGAAGAGAAUGUAGAAGAGAGGGCACUUUAGAAAAUGGCUUAAUGAGAGGAAAAAAAAACAGAAAAAAAAUGAAGGAAAUUGGAAAAAUACAAAAUAAAGAAUAUUUUCUUGCCAACGUAGAAGUCUUGAAAGAUCAUUCUAAGUGUAAAUCUUGUAGGCCUGGACUCAUCACCAUCUUAAUUCAGCUCUGUCUUAUUACCACUUCAGUAGCACACAGGUAUCUGUUUAUUAGAUGCCAAUUGUUUAGAAAUUCUUUUUAUAUGUGGUAAACCUCAUACUGAAAUGUUCAUUUCACAGCAAUCAGGAAAUACCUUUAAAAUGUUUUAUGAGCUCUUUUGAAUUUCAGUGGAAGACUGACUUGUUUUACUUGAUCUACAAAAAUUUUGAUGACUCAUGAGCUUUCUUUGACAAGUUUGUCUGUGUGGACUGCAGAGACAGAUUCUCAACAGUAUCCCCCAAAUAGAGAAAGGUGUAACAAAAUAAAGUUAUUAAUUAUAUGUUCUCAAUUUAGAUAUCCAAAUAAAUAAUUUUAAUUUGUUGAUCACAGUAAAUAGCAAUGAUGUCCUUGGAAUAGUAAGUAUACCAGAGUUAACAAACCUACUGAAUCUGAAGUUCUGAACCAAAAAAUGUUACACUGCACUGUACAUCACCUUUCCAAUAAGUAAAGUACUCAGUAUCCAGGUAACUAUUACUUUUACUCUAUUUUGUCAAAAACAGCACAAAUCUUCCACCAAAACACCACUAAUGUGGAAGAACUGACACACAGGUUGUAAACAUUUAUGUAGUGAUAUUUGCAUUGAAAAAGUACUUAGUGAAAUAGAGAUGAAACUCGUAGAUGGCUAUACACACAUAAACUUUUUGGUGAAUUAGGUCUAGUGAACCAAUGGUUAUGUCUAGUUGAAAUCAAUUAUUAAAAUUCAGAUAACAGCUAUUCUUUUGUAGUUAGCAGGAAGAGAGAAAGAGAAAAAAAGGCUGCUCAUUCACAUAUCUGGGCCUAUGUAUCCUAAAUAUCCAUAAUCAGGCACUUCUGCAGUUGAUUCUCUUCUCACUGGCUAUAGAAGAAAUCUACGAGGGCUUCUAAAAAGUUAUGUCUGCUACUUUAUUAUAUUGGCCUACAAUAUCUGAGGUGGAUGUUGAUAGUAUAGCAGUAGAGGUUGAACCUUCCUGCCAGUAUUCCAUUAUGUUUUUUUUUUGCCAUGCAACACAUGGCAGCAGAGGGAAGGUCUGACAGAAUGCUGUUUGACAUGGGAGCAUGCAUGAAAUGUGGAAUUCCUCCAUGUGGGAAAAAUUGCACCCACUGAUAUUCAUUGACACUUGCUGAACAUAUAUGGAGACCAAACAGUGGAUGUGAACACAGUGAAGUGAUGUGUGGUGUUUCAGUAGUAGCAACAGUGAUGUGAAAGACAAGCCAUAUUCCAGAUGGCCAUGAAGAUUUUUAUGAGCACAACAUUCAGGCCUUUGUUCACUGCUAGUGAUGAAUAUGUACAAAAAUAGUAUCCUGUAGCUGAGAAUUUUGUCUGUCAGUGUUAUUGUACUCUUUGUGUCUGUUAUAGUUUCCAUGGAAAUAAAUAGGAGGCAUUACUUUUGGAACUACCAACAGAGAUAACCAGCUAUAAGCCAAAUUUCUAACUUUCAAAUGACUAAAUUUAGGUUAGAUGUAGUCCAUGCAUAACUGUAUUUUCUUAUUCUAUGAAGAAUGUAAGAAUGGCUACAGUAGUUUAUAUCCUAAGUCUCAACUGAUGGCUAGUAUUGCUUGUCUCGAAAAGAGUUUAUGAUAAGGGAAAUAAUAUGUCCGCAUUGUUCCCUAUAUGUUUGCAUUCUUCAGUCAUCUGACACUAAGCAUGAUACUCAGUUUGAGAUUUGGUCUUCAUAUCACAUUCAAAUAGGAAAUGCUGAGUGAUUUAAUGUAACUAAUGCAAUCUAAUCUGUAGCCAUUAGACAAAAAUAACAAUUAGACGUGCCACUUUUCUGCAUGGAUAUUACAAAUUUAAGGCCAUCCCUUAUAAAUGAAAAAUGCUACUUCAGAGUGUUUACUGAAAACAUGAGGGCAUUUUUACCGCAAGAAAACUACACAGUGAUUGUUAUCUCCAUGUAAAAUCCUAACAGGCACAAGGUAGAGCUAGUUUUAACCUCAGAGCACUGAGAUAAACCUGAAGAAGUAAAUACAAAGCUGACCUUCACUGACCAUAUCAAGGCAUAGAUAUAGAUAGCUAUUACAUUGUUUGAGAUAUUCUCUUUUUUGUUUUAUUUAUAAUAAAAUACUUCUGUCCUUUAUUUCUCCUUACUUCAGUGAUAUAAUAUGGAUGCUUUUCCAGUUCAGAGGUGAAGUUUUUUUCUCUGCAAAAGAAUCACAAAAACACAGAAUUGCAGAAAUUGAAAGAGACCUCAAGAGAUCAUCGAGUCCAGCCUGCCCCUGCUAAAGCAGGUACCCUACAAGAGGUCACACAGGAUCUGAGAAACUGAAAAGCUUGCCUCAGAGAAGUAUUCAUCUCAGCUAAUUUUAAACACUUAUAACAUGGAAGUCUGCAUCUGAGCUAAUGGCCUUAGGCACAUAUGACCUUUCCCUGGUCCACCAUAGAUGAGAUGAGAAGAAAUCUGAAUCUAAAUCCAAAAGAGCAUUUGAAUGUGGAAGUAAAAGCCUGCAUUGUGAAGCCUGAGAGAGAAAUUUGCCCAUGCUUAAUGGUAUUAAUAAAGAUCUGGGGAAGUAGAAUUGAAAAAUUCAGAAGCUUUUUUUUUUUUUUUUUUCUUUUUAAUAUCUUGAUGUCUAAGAAUAAAUAAUAAUCCUUUUUCUUUGUAUUCACUUAAAACCGUAAGUUUGCCAAGACAAUUAUUUUCUUGUUUUCCAUAGUUAAUAUUCUGCAAAGUCUUCAAUAAGGAGGUUUCACAGAUGAUUUAAGAACACUUUGAAAGUAUAAUGUACUUCUGUGAAAUGUGGAGGCUGCGAUGAAAUAUUUAAACAUCAAUGGAUUGAGAUGGAAAAUACCUAAUGGCUUUCCUUGCGGAAUCAUGUAUUGAAUAUUUUGGAUUCAUUUUAAAUCUUAGGGGAUCCACCUAACAGUUUAAUUGCUGAGAAAAAAAAUGCUGCAAUUGACAUCUAAACCAAAUUGCUUUAACCAAGUCCUGAAUUAAAAAUAUUUGUGUUUUUAUUACAGAAUAUGAAUUUCAAUAUAUCCGUAAUGGCAGAAUCUCCCAAAAAGCUAUUAACUGAGAUAACUGGCUGAGGAAAUCAACCCACUAAGCAAUUUUGUGAAAAUUAAAAUUCAUUUUCCACACAUUGUAGUGUACUGGUUCAGUAUAGCACCAGUUCAGUAUAGCACCUUUUUCUGUGAUAUUUCCCAUUUGUUAAAAUAGGAGUAGUAGUCAUCCUGUUUCUACCAGUUUAAGAGCCUUAAUACCAGCAAAGCAAGAGUGCUGAGGAUUUGACAGACACGCUUAGGUCAUUAUUUCAUAGUGCAAAUAUUUUUUAAGUAUGUACAAGGUAAAACCAAAUGAAACAAAUCCAUUAAGCAUCAUUUUUUAUAGCUUUUCUUCCUAUUCCUUGGAAACCUCUGGGGACAGUGAUUCCACCACCUCCCUAGGCAGCCUGUUCCAAUACUUCAUCACUCCAAGAACUUUUUCCUGAUAUCCAACCUGUUCAGCUAUCCCCCAGUUCAACUCAAAGCCGUUACCUCUUAUACUACUACUGUUACAUGUGAGAAGAGACCAGCCUCCAUCUUGCUACUUCUUCCUCUCAGACUAUUACAGAGCUGUAAGAUCUUUCCUGAGCCUCCCCCUCUCCAGACUAAACAAUCCCAGUUCCAUCAGCUGCUCCCCACAGGACUUUUGUUCCAGACCUUCCAGCAGCUUCUUUGCCCUUCUUAGGAUAUGGUCCAGGGCCUCAGUGUCUUUCUUGUAGUGAGGGGUUCAAAACUGAACGCAGUAUUUGAGGUAUGGCCUCACCAGUGCUGUGUACACGGCAAUGAUCGAUCUCAUGCCUAGUUCUGCUGACUACACUCUUUCUGAUACAAGCCAGAAUGCUAGUGUUCUUGGCUACCUGAGCACACUGUUGAGUCAUGUUCAGCUGAGCACUGGCCAAGAAUCCCAGGUCAUUUUCCACCAUGCAGGUUUCCAGCCACUCUACCCCAAGCCUGUAAUGUUGCACGUGGUUGUUGUGACCAAAGUGCAGGAUUCAGUACUUGGUCUUGUUGAAGCUCAUGCAAUUGGCCUCAGUCCAUCAAUCUAGACUGUCCAGAUACCAACGUAGAACUUUUCUACUCUCAGACAUGGUUUCAUCUGAAGAUUUACUGAUGGCCCACUUAAUCACCUUGUCCAGAUCAUCAAUGAAGAUAUUAAACAGGACCAGCACUAAUACUGACCCCUGGAGAACACCAUUUGUGACUGGUCACCAGCUAGAUUUAACUCCAUUCACCACCACACUCUGGGUCCAGCCCUCCAGCCGGUUCUCUACCCAGUGAAGACUGUACCUGUUCAAGCCAUGGACUGCCAUCUUUUCCAGGAGAAUGCUGUGGGACACAAUGUCAAAGGCUUUAUUCAUGUCUAGGUGGACUACAUCCAUAGCUUUUCCCUCAUCUACUAGGGAAUUUUUGUAGUCAUGAUCCAAAUUUUCAGAAGGUAUCUCUGUAUCCUGAUGAAGAGAUCUUUUAAAUGGCUCAUUGAAGGAGACUCAGAUUGCCUAGAAACUGAUGCGCAUUAUGGUUCCACACCCUUACUCAUAAUUUUUAUAAUUAAUAAAAAUUCAGAGAGAAACUCCUUCCAUUUUAAAUUUGCCCAUAGCACUCCUGUGCUAGAGUUUAGAAUUCUCGACUCUGAAGAUAAACGGAAAAUUAUUUUUUCUAAUUGUAUCCAGGAGCUUUUAUGUAGCAUAUUUUAAAAUGUCACAAAAUAAUGAAGUUUAGAUAAGCCAUUAAGGAAAAAACAUGUUUUUCAACUGAGUAAAGAUGCCAGCAAUUCAAACAAUAGUGCUGCAUUUGUCAGAUAAUUAGCCAAUGAUUGUCUUUUGAACUCUGAAAAUAAAUUUAGAAGGAGCAGAUAUGCUGUGCUGUAAAAUGUGAGAGCUUUCAGAGUUUUUUUUUCUUCUUCUUUUUAAGACUUUUGCUUAAAGAUUUUUUUUUGAAGUGUUUUCUAACUAAGUACUUGAAUUAUGUACACAUGAAUAGCCUUUAAGGAAAUCAUACAGGUCUCUUCAACUAUAUGCUAUACAGAUUUUAAUUUUACAGAUUUUUAUUAUUUUAGUUCCACUAAAUGCUUUUAGUUAAGGUUGACCAAAAUUUUCCCCUUUGAGACCAGUUUUUAAAUUCCUUGUAAUUGCCAUAUUUAAACUGUUCAUGCUGUUGUGCCCCAUGCCAUAUGUCUACUCUGGGAUGAAUCAGUUUGGAAAAUUCCAUAAAAAUGGCUCAGUAGUUUUGCAGUAUUGACAAAAAUGCUUUUUUUUCCCCCCAUAACUAAUAUAUUAUGCUGAAGCAGUUAACUUGAAUACUGUUGUUAUUUCCUAAUGAACCUCUGUUUAUGUUGUAUUGAUGUCCUGUAGAAAUGAGUCCAAAUGAAACUUCUGAUAAAAUCUUAGUAACUUGUGGGAAUACAAGAAAAACUGUUCAGAGGAGCAGCUGUGGAGCAAGAUAAACAGCAGUAAGCAAAAGAGCAAAACAAACAAAAAUUGAUCUCUCCUCCCAGCUAUUCAUUUUACUAGGGAUCAAACUCUAUGGUCAAGUAAAAGUUUUUGAUGAACGUUACUUUAGAAUAAAUAUAUCUAAUUAAUUGAAUAGUACUUAAAACGUCAUUUCAACUCUACACAUUUAUUUUUUAGGUGCAAAUCUUUCCCAAGAAUAUUCACAGAACAGAGAAUCAGGCGUAAAACCUAUCUACAUUUACACACUACUUUUUGACAGCAACAUCUUAAAUGUACUAUACUAUUCUGACAUUUUUAAGAGAACUUUUAAGAGAAAAUACUUGUGAGUAUCUGCAGUUCAAAUUUAUGCUAUUCUUUCUUUAUGGUAACUCACAAUAUUGUACACUAACUAUCAAAAGAAAGAAAUUUGUGAUUCCCCUGCAAUAUUUGCCUUUGGAUAAAAGAGGAAAAAAAAUCUAAUGCCUUCACAGACUGUAAUAAGUCUAAAAUUCACAAACUA
ensembl:lncRNA